GGCGGCGUAGCUCAGUUGGUUAGAGCGUGCGACUCAUAAUCGCAAGGUCGAGGGUUCGAAUCCCUCCGCCGCCAUCA
rnacentral:tRNA from 1 species